GAAGGGAGCGGGGCCGCCGCCGGCCGACAGACCGGAGACAUCUUGCCGCGCCAGUGUGUUUCAGAUCUGAUACAGACAAGAUGUCCAGCAGGGGUGGAAAGAAGAAGUCUACCAAGACUUCCCGCUCUGCAAAGGCUGGGGUCAUAUUCCCUGUUGGACGGAUGCUCCGGUACAUUAAGAAAGGCCACCCGAAGUACAGAAUUGGUGUUGGUGCUCCUGUGUACAUGGCCGCUGUACUGGAAUAUCUAACUGCGGAAAUUCUGGAAUUGGCUGGAAAUGCAGCAAGGGACAACAAGAAGGGUCGAGUCACUCCUAGACACAUCCUGUUGGCUGUAGCAAACGAUGAAGAAUUAAAUCAGCUAUUGAAAGGGGUCACCAUAGCCAGUGGUGGAGUGUUACCCAAUAUUCACCCUGAGCUGUUGGCAAAGAAGCGGGGAUCAAAAGGAAAACUGGAAGCCAUUAUCACUCCACCCCCAGCAAAGAAGGCAAAGUCUCCAUCACAGAAAAAAACUGUAUCAAAGAAAACAGGCGGCAAGAAAGGAGCAAGGAAAUCCAAGAAGAAGCAGGGAGAAGUGAGCAAAUCAGCCAGUGCUGACAGUACAACAGAGGGAACUCCUGCAGAUGGUUUCACAGUCCUGUCCACCAAAAGCCUGUUUCUUGGCCAGAAGCUGAACCUUAUUCACAGUGAAAUCAGUAAUUUAGCCGGCUUCGAGGUGGAGGCCAUUAUCAAUCCUACCAAUGCUGACAUUGACCUUAAAGAUGACCUAGGUGGCUCAACAAGCUGGGCAGUUACCAAGUAAAGCAGCCCGCUGCACUCACGAGACUGUUUCAUUCCUGGGGCCACCUGUUGGGGUCAGGGACCAAGAUCAGGGAGCACUUUGGAAAAGAAAGGCGGCAAGGAGUUUGUGGAAGCCGUCAUUGAGCUCCGCAAAAAGAACGGGCCGUUGGACAUAGCCGGAGCUGUUGUCAGUGCUGGCCACGGAUUGCCUGCAAAAUUCGUGAUCCACUGUAAUAGCCCAGGUUGGGGCUCAGACAAAUGCGAGGAGCUGCUGGAAAAGACAGUGAAGAACUGCUUGGCUCUGGCUGAUGAAAAGAAGCUGAAAUCAAUCGCGUUUCCUUCCAUUGGCAGCGGCAGAAAUGGCUUCCCAAAGCAAACAGCUGCUCAGCUGAUCCUGAAAGCCAUCUCGAGCUAUUUUGUGUCAACAAUGUCCUCUUCAAUCAAGACAGUGUACUUCGUGCUCUUCGACAGCGAGAGUAUAGGGAUAUAUGUGCAGGAAAUGGCCAAACUAGAUGCCAACUAAGCCUAGAAAGCUACAGUACCAGCCCCCUCUUCCAUCCAUCAGCAUCCCCAAAUCCUUAACUCAUUGUGAGGCAGAACAUCCCUUAUUUUAAAUUUUGCUCAUCUAGGGAAAUAAAGGUGAGGGUUUUGUUUUGGAAUUUUUUGUUUGUUUUGUUUUUCCUCUCUAAACUGUUUUAUGUUGGCACUGAUAGUUGGCAUUAGUGCUUUUAAUGCACUGUUAUACCAGGCAUUGUCUGAAGUUUGUGUAAUCUAGAAGAUUUUAUAGUUUUAUUUUAAUGAAGUAUGGAUUGAAGCCAGAAGCUGUUAAGAGUAUGUAGUCUUUUACUUGUGAAAGAAACAGGCCAACCCUCUUUUGUAACUGUGUCGUGGUGCUUUAUCAAUACAUCAAGUGGCGUUCCUUUCAUUUUUUAAAAGAACAGAUGCUAUAAACCUAAUUUGUGUUUGUUUAUUGUCUUAAUGAUUCUGGAAAAAAUACAGAAACCCUGUUGUCCUUAAUUAUAUUUACAAUUUUGAAACUGUGUGAAUUGAUUUAGUAAAAUGUUUGAACUGUU